rnacentral:rRNA from 1 species
GUCCAGAGCUACACACGUGCUACAAUGCCGGUACAAAGGGCUGCAAGACCGUGAGGUUGAGCGAAUCCCAGAAAGCCGGUCUCAGUUCGGAUUGGAGUCUGCAACUCGACUCCAUGAAGUCGGAAUCGCUAGUAAUCGCAGAUCAGCAUGCUCGCGGUCGAAUACGUUCCCGGGCCUU